rnacentral:lncRNA from 1 species
GCCAGUCGUGUGUAUAUUUUACAAUAUGACGUAUGAAUGACUCACCCUGAAUCCUUUCUUGCUGAGAUCGAAGAACCAACCCUCUCUUGGGAUCUGGAUCAGGACCCCUUUCCUAUAAUACUGGCAGUCUGGAGAUGUGUGCCCUAACCAGGCCAUACUCCCGUUGCCCCAUGACCAUCCAUGCUGUGGCUACUGUUGCUGAAGCUGAACCUCAAGGUUACUGUUAAAUAGGAUGAGGAAACUGAGGCUUCAAGAGAUUCAGCAAUCUGCCUUAGGACACAGAGGUAGAAAGUGGCAGGCAGUCUGACUCU